rnacentral:lncRNA from 1 species
CACGUAGUUAUCAAAAAAUAAAAUAUAAACUUCAAAUACGGGCCCAUAUGUUUCAUAUUUUUUACUUUAAUAUCUUAUAAUUUAAGGUGUAUUAAUUUAAUGAGCUCGUAGUUUGAGGACUAAACAUGAAAUUCGCUACUAUUGAAAGGUUAAGGUCAGACGGGAUGUUACCGACCGUCUCUAGCGCAAGUGACAGAGAGUUUGAUGGUUGAUAUCCGGAUCUCAAAUUUGAAUCAUAAUUAAGUCACAUUUUUCACUAAAUUUAUUUUUAUAAAAAAUAAAACGAAACAAGUGCCAUACAUACCAUCUUUCUUUCUUGAGAAAAAAAAUUCAUUACUAUU